rnacentral:lncRNA from 1 species
AGAAAAAAAUAUAGAUUUUUAUGUAUUUGAUAAAUUUUAGAAACAAAAAAUUCAAUAACGAGCAUCUUAAUUAUGAGACUUUAGGGGAAUAUGAGAUAAUAAAGAAAAGAAAAGAAAUUAAAAAAAAAAAACAUGACCCACGUUUCUCUUUCUCACAAAUACAAAGCCCCUAGUAGUAAUUUCCACUCUCUUACACUCUACCCCACUUUCUCUCCUAUCUCACACAAAUCCUAUUACACAAACACUAAUAAUUGACUGUUUCUCUAAUUAUAAAUAGUACUAGUACUACUUUCCCAAUUAUUACUCACAAACGUACUAUAUUGCCAACAAACCCUUAGUUUUAUGGGGGCCUCCCAAAUGAUAAGCAAUAAAUAUUCAUGCAAAAUGUGUAUAAAUACACACACAAAUCGGCCACACCUCUUCGAACACUCAUCAUCACUUUGGUCGGCCGCUUUCUUCCUUCCUUCCUCCUCAUAUAAUCUACACACAUAUAACAUCCCUCUUAAUUUCUCAGUGGAUCCAUUAUAUUGAGACAUAUAUCAUAAGAAAAUGGUACCAUACCAAGAACUCUCUCUUCAGAGAAGCUUCAGCUACAACUCGAGAAAGAUCAAUCCAGUGACUUCUCCGGCGCGUAGCUCACACGUCCGUUCUCCUUCUUC